GUUAAGUGAAAGUUUUAACAAUAUAUUUGAACUGAAACGUUACAUAAUAAUUUCAUAAAAAGGUGUUAACGUUAGUGCAGGACAAUUUCUUUUUUCCUUGUAGAGCAAAGUUUACCAGUAUAUUUUCGAAGAUCACAUAUGAUGUCAGCUUGGAGUUGUAUAUCCUAAUGGCAAAAUAUGAUAGUUAACAGAUCGGAAGAUACCAAAGCGAUAAUUGAUUCAUUGAUGCAUACAAAAUUAAGCUAAAUAAUAAUUUGUGAGCGGUAUGAACAUUAAUGCAGAAAGAUACCUCGAACCAUAUAGAACCAAAAUUACAAGUAUAUUUCUGAAGAAUGGCAAACACUUUUCUAAUAAAGAAAUGGACAAGACUGUAUAAAACUUUUGACCUAAACAAAGACAACGUGUUAACAAUUGCUGAUGCCAUUUUGUUUUCAGAUAGAUUUAUUGAAAGCAACAACAUGCAGGGUGAACAGGCUAAAGACUACAAGACAAAAUAUUUAGAUUGGUUUCGAGAUUUUUUCCUGAAAGGAGGAGAGAAGAUGACAGAGGAUAGUUUCGUUAAUAAGAUGACAGAGGAAUAUAACAAAGAUGGUAAAGAAUUUGAGAAAACUAUAAGACAACAUAUGUCUGUACUGGUAUCGAUCACAGAUGUUAACAAAGAUAAUAUGAUAUCCAAAGAUGAGUUUGUAGAGGCACUGAGGGCAAUGGGAUUGGUUACCUUUGAUGAGAAGUAUUUUAACGCAUAUCCUCAAGUUAAACCGAGUUGCAUAGAAGCUAAUCUAUUUCUGCAAAGUUGGGUCGAGUAUUGCUGUAACAGUGACGAUAGUAACGUUAGUAAUUUGGAGAAAGCUCGUCUGUAUGGAUUUAGAAUUAUUGAUACUAUUUAAUGAUUCAUUUUCUUUUAUUAUUCAAUCAUAUGACAUUAGAAUGAACACUGUAUCACUAAAGUAUCUAUAGAUAAAUAAUAAACUUUUUAAAUAUA